rnacentral:rRNA from 1 species
GUCUACAGCCAUGACACCCUGAAUGUGCCCGAUCUCGUCUGAUCUCAGAAGCUAAGCAAGGUCGGACCUGGUUAGUACUUGGAUGGGAGACCACCUAGGAAUAACAGGUGCUAUACGCA